rnacentral:rRNA from 1 species
GACGAACGCUGGCGGCGUGCUUAACACAUGCAAGUCGAACGGAAAGGCCCUGCUUUUGUGGGUUGCUCGAGUGGCGAACGGGUGAGUAACACGUGAGUAACCUGCCCUUGACUUUGGGAUAACUUCAGGAAACUGGGGCUAUUACCGGAUAGGAGCUCCUGCUGCAUGGUGGGGGUUGGAAAGUUUCGGCGGUUGGAGAUGGACUCGCGGCUUAUCAGCUUGUUGGUGUGGUAGUGGCUUACCAAGGCUUUGACGGGUAGCCGGCCUGAGAGGGUGACCGGCCACAUUGGGACUGAGAUACGGCGCAGACUCCUACGGGAGGCAGCAGUGGGGAAUAUUGCACAAUGGGCGGAAGCCUGAUGCAGCAACGCCGCGUGCGGGAUGACGGCCUUCGGGUUGUAAACCGCUUUCGACUGUGACGAAGCGUGAGUGACGGUAAUGGGUAAAGAAGCAACGGCUAACUACGUG